CGCGGGGUGGAGCAGCUCGGUAGCUCGCUGGGCUCAUAACCCAGAGGUCGCAGGUUCAAAUCCUGUCCCAGCUA
rnacentral:tRNA from 1 species